GGGGGUGUACCGGUUUCGACGGGGGUAGAUGUGGUGUGAUAAGCGAGCUGGGAUCCCGCCAACCCCAUUAAACGGUGGAAACGCGUUAUAAACGCAGACGAUUCUUACGCUUUAGCAGCUUAAAUGCUAACGUCCUUCUUCUCCCUUCCUGCAGGAGGGGAAUGGACGACGCUUGCAGGAUACUUUAGUACCAUAUCCCGGGGGUGCUAGGGGAAUUCUACGGGAUAGGGUGUUCUGUAGCCCGCCGAUAGGCAACAGAGCUCCGAAAUAAAGUAUGUCGGCUGCGCUCGGAGAAAGUUGCAUUGCAAUGCUUUCGGACAGGGGUUCGACUCCCCUCAUCUCCACCA
rnacentral:tmRNA from 1 species